rnacentral:tRNA from 1 species
GAUGGUAUAGCUUAGUGGUAGAGUGUGUGCUUAGAAUGCACAAGGUCCUAGGUUCAAUCCCAGUAACUCCA